rnacentral:rRNA from 1 species
ACCGAAUAGGGGAGCCGAAGGGAAACCGAGUCUUAACUGGGCGUUAAGUUGCAGGGUAUAGACCCGAAACCCGGUGAUCUAGCCAUGGGCAGGUUGAAGGUUGGGUAACACUAACUGGAGGACCGAACCGACUAAUGUUGAAAAAUUAGCGGAUGACUUGUGGCUGGGGGUGAAAGGCCAAUCAAACCGGGAGAUAGCUGGUUCUCCCCGAAAGCUAUUUAGGUAGCGCCUCGUGAAUUCAUCUCCGGGGGUAGAGCACUGUUUCGGCAAGGGGGUCAUCCCGACUUACCAACCCGAUGCAAACUGCGAAUACCGGAGAAUGUUAUCACGGGAGACACACGGCGGGUGCUAACGUCCGUCGUGAAGAGGGAAACAACCCAGACCGCCAGCUAAGGUCCCAAAGUCAUGGUUAAGUGGGAAACGAUGUGGGAAGGCCCAGACAGCCAGGAUGUUGGCUUAGAAGCAGCCAUCAUUUAAAGAAAGCGUAAUAGCUCACUGGUCGAGUCGGCCUGCGCGGAAGAUGUAACGGGGCUAAACCAUGCACCGAAGCUGCGGCAGCGACGCUUAUGCGUUGUUGGGUAGGGGAGCGUUCUGUAAGCCUGUGAAGGUGUGCUGUGAGGCAUGCUGGAGGUAUCAGAAGUGCGAAUGCUGACAUAAGUAACGAUAAAGCGGGUGAAAAGCCCGCUCGCCGGAAGACCAAGGGUUCCUGUCCAACGUUAAUCGGGGCAGGGUGAGUCGACCCCUAAGGCGAGGCCGAAAGGCGUAGUCGAUGGGAAACAGGUUAAUAUUCCUGUACUUGGUGUUACUGCGAAGGGGGGACGGAGAAGGCUAUGUUGGCCGGGCGACGGUUGUCCCGGUUUAAGCGUGUAGGCUGGUUUUCCAGGCAAAUCCGGAAAAUCAAGGCUGAGGCGUGAUGACGAGGCACUACGGUGCUGAAGCAACAAAUGCCCUGCUUCCAGGAAAAGCCUCUAAGCAUCAGGUAACAUCAAAUCGUACCCCAAACCGACACAGGUGGUCAGGUAGAGAAUACCAAGGCGCUUGAGAGAACUCGGGUGAAGGAACUAGGCAAAAUGGUGCCGUAACUUCGGGAGAAGG